rnacentral:rRNA from 1 species
AACGAACGCUGGCGGCAGGCCUAACACAUGCAAGUCGAGCGAAGCCUUCGGGCUUAGCGGCGGACGGGUGAGUAACGCGUGGGAACGUGCCCUUUGCUACGGAAUAGCCCCGGGAAACUGGGAGUAAUACCGUAUGUGCCCUUCGGGGGAAAGAUUUAUCGGCAAAGGAUCGGCCCGCGUUGGAUUAGGUAGUUGGUGGGGUAAUGGCCUACCAAGCCGACGAUCCAUAGCUGGUUUGAGAGGAUGAUCAGCCACACUGGGACUGAGACACGGCCCAGACUCCUACGGGAGGCAGCAGUGGGGAAUCUUAGACAAUGGGGGAAACCCUGAUCUAGCCAUGCCGCGUGAUCGAUGAAGGCCUUAGGGUUGUAAAGAUCUUUCAGUGGGGAAGAUAAUGACGGUACUUGAGGAGGAAGCCCCGGCUAACUACGUGCCAGCAGCCGCAGUAAAAC